rnacentral:rRNA from 1 species
GACGAACGCUGGCGGCGUGCCUAACACAUGCAAGUCGAACGGAAAGGCCCUGCUUGCAGGGUGCUCGAGUGGCGAACGGGUGAGUAACACGUGGGUGAUCUGCCCCUUACUUUGGGAUAAGCCUGGGAAACUGGGUCUAAUACUGGAUAGGACCAUGCUGUAGGUGGUGUGGUGGAAAGAUUAGUUUCGGUAAGGGAUGAGCUCGCGGCCUAUCAGCUUGUUGGUGGGGUAAUGGCCUACCAAGGCGUCGACGGGUAGCCGGCCUGAGAGGGUGGACGGCCACAUUGGGACUGAGAUACGGCCCAGACUCCUACGGGAGGCAGCAGUGGGGAAUAUUGCACAAUGGGCGCAAGCCUGAUGCAGCGACGCCGCGUGGGGGAUGACGGCCUUCGGGUUGUAAACUCCUUUCAGCCAUGACGAAGCCUUCGGGUGACGGUAGUGGUAGAAGAAGCACCGGCUAACUACGUG